GAGGCAAUGGACGGUUGACAGGGGCUGGAACACCAACGCAACUGAUGCCUUCACGGGCCAUAGCGUAAAACAAGGGCUGGACUAUGUGAUCAAACAGGUUACCGUGAUUAACGUUUUCUAAAAGAGUAGCUAUCGUGAGAAAUUUCACAUAAUUGAAGAUUAAUUUUGAACGGUGAAUAAACCGUUACACGUGGUUUUAAUUUACUGCAGUCUCCUUUGCAAUGUUCUGUGUACCUGCAAACGUACAAACAAGGAUAACUUGCAACUAAAAACAGGAUUGUUGUUGAGGAAGUUCAUGAAUUAAAUAUUGGAUUGUAUAAUGCAAUUUAUGGACAAUUGAGGUGAGGUUUUUUGAGAAUGUGUCCAGAUCUAUUUACAAAGGUUAAUGAUAGGUGGUUUUAUAACUUCUGAUGAGAUGUGAACUUAUCAAUAAAGCUGACUCACUGUGUGGAUGCUCAGGGAGUUUCCACCUGACACUGUUACUUAUGGAUAACCACAGUGUGAAAAACAUCUUGUAUAUCACAUAAAGAGUUUAAGUUACUUUCAUCUUCAUAAAAUAUCACUUUACAGUCCAAACCAAUCACUGGUUUUAAAUGUAAAUAGAGCUCCGGACGUCACGUGACUUGUGCUUUUCUCGCUUUUCCACUACAUGGUCCCGGCUCCACCAUGGAUGUAUUAUAAGAACUGGAUAGAGCACCGGCCCCUCUGCCUUGAAGAGGCCACUUUCGAUUACACCUGGAAUCAUCUUCAUGUGCUUGGGAAAAGGCAUUUUAUGUCACUAAUUGUUACAAACUGGACUUUCCCUCUUCUAGUGGACUUGGGUGUCAUUUUCUUCACCUCCAUAAGGGGGAGUGUCAGACUGAUCCAUACCUGGAGGGAUGUAGAGUUUUUAAGCCUCUGAAUAAUACAAGUGAAUGUUGGAAGUGGGAAAACACUCAUCAGUCAAAUGCGGAGGAGAGGAGUGAAGAGAUUUGGGGCUUUGACAGCCGUUGCUUCUUCUCCAACCUCACCAGACAGAGACAGCUGCCAGUGUUAAGCAGCCCCCUGGAGGGCCGCUGUUACAGACACAGGUGUACUGCACCAAACAGGUAUCGAAUCCAAGUUUCUGGCUCUGACUGGAUGGACUGUCCAGCAGGGGGCA